AACGCUCCUCUCCCACAGAACUGGGUAGGGUUGCAGAGUGCAGGACCCCAGAAGCAAGGCAUGAAUUGGAUUGUCAACUCGGGAAACCGAGCUAAGUAAAGCCCCAGGGACAGUCAUUUCUCUGUCCCUCCGUCCCUUGACUGGUGGCCAGAUGACAGGUCAGGGAGGCUCUUCUGGUAGUAAGAGCAUUGCAGCCUUAAUCAGAGUCAGAAGAAAUGAGGAAGGUGGAUAUCCCUGGAAGGACCUGGAAUAAAAGGAAUCCUAUUCUGCUAGUUAUCUCUAGAAUUCCUGCCCCCUAGCAUGGACUCAUACAGAGCACAACCAUCCUGGUUUAUUCUAAGAGGAAGCAACCAGGAACACAAUGCAGACAGGGAGAGGGGAAGUGCUGAGGACAGUUAGAGCUGGGGGAAGUCUUCAAAGGAGACACUUGCUGGAGGGUGCCUGGGGGAAGGAGCCUCAUUUCCUUUGAGGGAAAGAAAGUUAUGAUGCUUUAGACAAAACUGAAAGUUGGAGCAAGAGAACACUGGGACCAUAGCAGUAGCUUUGGAGGCCAAUGACUUCUGUGUACAGGUGCCAUCUGCUACCUCUCCGCUGUGUGGCUCUGGGCUGCUAGCUCAGCAUCACUGUGCAACCAGAACUUUGGAGACCGCAAUAGCUAAUACUGAUACAUGAAUCUGAGAGUGUCUCUGAGUGCCAUGGUGCCUUUUCCUGCUCUGUUGUGCAUAGCUUGACAAAUUAGGGCCCCAGAAACUCAAUAGCCACCAAAGCCAGCCCAAGCUAGAGGCUUUUAGGCGCUUCUCUCCUGAAUUUGGAGCACAAAACUCACAGAGCCCAGAAGGUAAGUUUUCGAGAGAAGUAUUUUGUGAUAGGAACUUAGUAGAGAAAGUCGGCAGUGUGCCUGCAUAGUGAAAGGGUUACAGAUAGCGAGAGACCACUCAGCUCCACUGCCUUGGAGUCAGUAAGGCUUUCGUGGAUGGACAGGAAAAUGAGCUGGUCAGUCCAGUUUGUGCUCAGUCAUGUUCUCUACGUGGUUUUCAGGAAAGGGGUAUUCUUUGAGGGAAGAGAUGAGAGAAAAGAGACCACUGUGUAUAGCAAAACCAGAGACACCAGCAUCUACAGCUCUAUAAGGACAAGGUUAGGGGGAGUCCCAAGGACGUUUCUAGCUUUUAGCUGAGGGAGAAACUGGUUGCUUUUCUUUGGGGUCUUUUUUUUUACCAUAAGCCGCCUAAGCCAAUCUCUACCCUCAACCUCUUCACAAUCAAGUGUCUCCUGGGGCUGCGGAGA